ACGACAUGGUGUGGGCAUUUAUGGAUCAAGUCUUUGAGCCUCUCCCAAGUCUCAUGGAACAUUUUUCCAUUCAUCUGAGAAAAACUAGUAAUGACUUUUCUAAUAU